GUUAGGGUUAGGGUUAGGGUUGGAGCUAGGGUUAGGGUUAGGGUUAGGGUUGGAGCUAGGGUUAGGGUUAGGGUUAGGGUUGGAGCUAGGGUUAGAGUUAGGGUUAGGGUUGGAGCUAGUGUUAGGGUUAGGGUUAGGGUUGGAGCUAGGGUUAGGGUUAGGGUUAGGGUUGGAGCUAGGGUUAGGGUUAGGGUUGGAGCUAGGGUUAGGGUUAGGGUUAGGGUUGGAGCUAGAGUUAGGGUUGCAGCUAGGGUUAGGGUUAGGGUUAGGGUUGGAGCUAGGGUUAGGGUUAGGGUUAGGGUUGGAGCUAGGGUUAGGGUUAGGGUUAGGGUUGGAGCUAGGGUUACGGUUAGGGUUAGAGUUAGGGUUGGAGCUAGGGUUAGGGUUGGAGCUAGGGUUAGGGUUAGGGUUGGAGCUAGGGUUAGGGUUAGGGUUAGGGUUGGAGCUAGGGUCAGGGUUAGGGAUGGAGCUAGGGUUAGGGUUAGGGUUAGGGUUGGAGCUAGGGUUAGGGUUAGGGUUAGGGUUGGAGCCAGGGUUAGGGUUAGGGUUGGAGCUAGGGUUACGGUUAGGGUUAGGGUUGGAGCUAGGGUUGGAGCUAGGGUUAGGGUUAGGGUUAGGGUUGGAGCUAGGGUUAGGGUUAGGGUUAGGGUUGGAGCUAGGGUUACGGUUAGGGUUAGAGUUAGGGUUGGAGCUAGGGUUAGGGUUGGAGCUAGGGUUAGGGUUAGGGUUGGAGCUAGGGUUAGGGUUAGGGUUGGAGCUAGGGUCAGGGUUAGGGAUGGAGCUAGGGUUAGGGUUAGGGUUAGGGUUGGAGCUACGGUUAGGGUUAGGGUUAGGGUUGGAGCUAGGUUUAGGGUUAGGGUUGGAGCUAGGGUUAGAGCUAGGGUUAGGGUUAGGGUUGGAGCUAGGGUUAGGGUAAGGGUUAGGGUUGGAGCUAGGGUUAGGGUUAGGGUUAGGGUUGGAGCUAGGGUUAAGUUUAGGUUGGAGCUAGGGUUAGGGUUAGGGUUGGAGCUAGGGUUAGGGUUAGGGUUAGGGUUGGAACUAGGGUUAAAGUUAGGGUUAGGGUU